rnacentral:rRNA from 2 species
GGAUGCGAUCAUACCAGCACUAAAGCACCGGAUCCCAUCAGAACUCCGAAGUGAAGCGUGCUUGGGCGAGAGUAGUACUAGGAUGGGUGACCUCCUGGGAAGUCCUCGUGUUCCAUUCC